CUGUAAUUUAUUUAAAGUCGCACAUAUACCGUCACAUCUGCCUGGGUGCCGUGCCUUUGGGCUUCGGUUGGCUGGUGGGGUAUAUGGAGGCCUAAC
rnacentral:sRNA from 16 species